rnacentral:rRNA from 1 species
UACGUAGGGUGCGAGCGUUGUCCGGAAUUACUGGGCGUAAAGAGCUCGUAGGUGGUUUGUCGCGUUGUUCGUGAAAACCUGAGGCUUAACCUUGGGCGUGCGGGCGAUACGGGCAGACUGGAGUACUGCAGGGGAGACUGGAAUUCCUGGUGUAGCGGUGGAAUGCGCAGAUAUCAGGAGGAACACCGGUGGCGAAGGCGGCCUUCUGGACAAUGACUGACGCUAAAACACGAAAGCGUGGGGAGCAAACAGG